UCGAACGCGAGAGGGGCUUCGGCCCCGAUUGAGUGGCAAACGGGUGAGUAACGCGUGGGUGACCUACCUUCGAGUGGGGGAUAACGUCUCGAAAGGGACGCUAAUACCGCAUGACAUCCUGCCUUUGGACAGGCGGAGAUCAAAGCCGGGGACCGCAAGGCCUGGCGCUUGGAGAGGGGCCCGCGUCCGAUUAGCUGGUUGGUGGGGUAACGGCCUACCAAGGCGACGAUCGGUAGCCGGCCUGAGAGGGCGGACGGCCACACUGGGACUGAGACACGGCCCAGACUCCUACGGGAGGCAGCAGUGGGGAAUUGUUCGCAAUGGGCGCAAGCCUGACGACGCAACGCCGCGUGGAGGAUGAAGGUCUUCGGAUUGUAAACUCCUGUUGAUCGGGACGAACAUCUUUUGGGAUAACACCCCGAAGGACUGACGGUACCGGUUGAGGAAGCCCCGGCUAACUCUGUGCCAGCAGCCGCGGUAAUACAGAGGGGGCAAGCGUUG
rnacentral:rRNA from 1 species